rnacentral:lncRNA from 1 species
GGAACAUAAUACUAUUGAAAACAAUUUAGAACUUAUUUCACAGAAUUUUCAAAGCAACAGUGGUGUACAAAAAUAAACUCAGAAAGGGAACAAUAUAGCAGAUAGCCCCUAGUGUAAAAAUUUAAAAACAAUAAAAAAAAAACCCCACUUGGGUUGUCCAGUAAGUAACACACACAAACCACACAGAAACAAAAGAAAAAAACUACUUGAAAUUUUGGCGGGCUGCCCGUAGCCCGAACGGGUUACGGGCUGGGCUAAAAAGCCCUGGAAAAAUUCGGGCUCUAAUUUUUCAGCCCAAGCCUUACAUUUUAUUCGGACUUUCGGUCCGGUCCAUAUGGUCCGGCCCUCGUUUUGACAGCUCCACCUCUACAUAUAAUUGGUUCGAAAUAUCUCUCCAUGCACAUUAUUUGUUGGAAGUUUGACAUGUCAUCUAAAUUAAAAAAGAUAAACAGGAUUUGUUACGGUAAAUAAACAUGAUUUGUUACAGUAAAUUACAAAUAUCUAUACAUAUAAUUCCAAUCAAAAUCUAAAUUUCAUAAAAUAUCUCUUAUUACUUAAAGUUAACCCGUAAGCAAUAUUUUGCUUUAGAUUUACCCUAAUUACUCUGCUUAAUUUUACUAUAUUAACCAUAUCUCUUCUAUUAUCUCUUAUUACUUAAUUAAAGUUAAUCCGUAAGCAAUAUUUUGCCCUAGAUUUACCCUAAUUUCUCUGCAUAAUUUUACUAUAUUAACCAUACCUCUUCUAUUAUCUCUUAUUACUUAAAGUUAACCCGUAAGCAAUAUUUUGCCCUAGAUUUACCCUAAUUUUGAUUAUCUGCUUAAUUUUACUAUAUUAACCAUAUCUCUUCUGUUAUCUCUUAUUACUUAAAGUUAACCCGCAAACAAUAUUUUGCCCUAGAUUUACCCUAAUUUCUCUGCUUAAUUUUACUAUAUUAACCCUAUCUCUUCUAUUAUCUCUUUACUUCAAGUUAACCCGUAAGCAAUAUUUUGCCCUAAAUUUAACCUUAUCUCUCUGCUUAAUUUUACAAUAUAUUAACCCCACCUCUUAUAUCAUCUCUUAUCUCUUAUUACUAUUUAAAGUUAACAAGUUAACCCGUAAGCAAUAUUUUGCCAUAGAUUUACCCUAAUUUCUCUGCUUAAUUUUACUAUACUAACCCUAUCUCUUAUUAAUAAAGUUUAACCCGUCUCGCUAUUAUGUUAGUCAAAUUAUGUUCCUAAUUUCAUUGAUAAUCGCAUUUAUUGUUCAUUCCAAUUAAAAGAUCAAAAUCUCUGUCGGGUCGAUGUCAUGUUACAAUAUCAAGGUCGAUGUCAUGGUCAUAAUAUGAUAUGAUAUAGUACCAAUGUCUAUGAUAAUUAAUAUUAUGAAUUUAAUCAGAACAAUUAUGACAUUCAACUAAACUAUUUUGUUACAUGUUACUGUCAAAUAUUACCUUCGAUAUGACGCGUGCGAUAG